AGAGUUUGAUCCUGGCUCAGGAUGAACGCUAGCGAUAGGCCUAACACAUGCAAGUCGAGGGGCAGCACAUGAAGUAGCAAUACGGAUGGUGGCGACCGGCGCACGGGUGAGUAACGCGUAUGCAACCUGCCUACAACAGGGGAAUAACCCGUUGAAAGACGGACUAAUACCCCAUAACACAGGGAUCCCGCAUGGGAAUAUUUGUUAAAGAUUUAUCGGUUGUAGAUGGGCAUGCGUUCCAUUAGCUGGUUGGUGAGGUAACGGCUCACCAAGGCAACGAUGGAUAGGGGAACUGAGAGGUUUAUCCCCCACACUGGUACUGAGACACGGACCAGACUCCUACGGGAGGCAGCAGUGAGGAAUAUUGGUCAAUGGACGCAAGUCUGAACCAGCCACGUCGCGUGAAGGAAGACGGCCCUACGGGUUGUAAACUUCUUUUGUAAGGGAAUAAAGUGCAGUACGUGUACUGUUUUGCAUGUACCUUACGAAUAAGGAUCGGCUAACUCCGUGCCAGCAGCCGCGGUAAUACGGAGGAUCCGGGCGUUAUCCGGAUUUAUUGGGUUUAAAGGGUGCGCAGGCGGGAGAUUAAGUCGGCGGUGAAAUUUUGCAGCUCAACUGUAAAAGUGCCUUCGAAACUGGUUUUCUUGAGUGUGGAUGAAGUAGGCGGAAUUUGUGGUGUAGCGGUGAAAUGCAUAGAUAUCACGAGGAACUCCGAUUGCGCAGGCAGCUUACUAAACCAUAACUGACGCUCAGGCACGAAGGCGUGGGGAUCAAACAGGAUUAGAUACCCUGGUAGUC
rnacentral:rRNA from 1 species